rnacentral:rRNA from 1 species
GACGAACGCUGGCGGCGUGCUUAACACAUGCAAGUCGAACGGAAAGGCCCUGCUUCUGUGGGGUGCUCGAGUGGCGAACGGGUGAGUAACACGUGAGUAACCUGCCCUUGACUUUGGGAUAACUUCAGGAAACUGGGGCUAAUACCGGAUAGGAGCUCCUGCUGCAUGGUGGGGGUUGGAAAGUUUCGGCGGUUGGGGGUGGACUCGCGGCUUAUCAGCUUGUUGGUGGGGUAGUGGCUUACCAAGGCUUUGACGGGUAGCCGGCCUGAGAGGGUGACCGGCCACAUUGGGACUGAGAUACGGCCCAGGCUCCUACGGGAGGCAGCAGUGGGGAAUAUUGCACAAUGGGCGGAAGCCUGAUGCAGCAACGCCGCGUGCGGGAUGACGGCCUUCGGGUUGUAAACCGCUUUCGCCUGUGACGAAGCGUGAGUGACGGUAAUGGGUAAAGAAGCACCGGCUAACUACGUG